CCUACGGGUGGCAGCAGUGGGGAAUAUUGCACAAUGGGGGAAACCCUGAUGCAGCGACGCCGCGUGAAGGAAGAAGUAUUUCGGUAUGUAAACUUCUAUCAGCAGGGAAGAAAAUGACGGUACCUGACUAAGAAGCCCCGGCUAACUACGUGCCAGCAGCCGCGGUAAUACGUAGGGGGCAAGCGUUAUCCGGAUUUACUGGGUGUAAAGGGAGCGUAGGCGGCGUUGCAAGUCAGAAGGGAAAGCCCGGGGCUCAACUCCGGGACUGCAUUUGAAACUGUGUUGCUAGAUUGCAGGAGAGGGAGGUAGAAUUCGUAGGGGAGCGGUGAAAUGCGUAGAGAUGAGGAGGA
rnacentral:rRNA from 1 species